rnacentral:tRNA from 1 species
AGUAAAGUCAGCUAAAAAAGCUUUUGGGCCCAUACCCCAACCAUGUUGGUUAAAAUCCUUCCUUUGCUA